rnacentral:piRNA from 1 species
UCACUGACUUCUCAGAGGACGAUCUGG